rnacentral:rRNA from 1 species
CUGACCGAGCAACGCCGCGUGAAUGACGAAGUACUUCGGUAUGUAAAGUUCUUUUAUCAAGGAAGAAAAGCAAAUGGCGAACCAUUUGUUUGCCGGUACUUGAUGAAUAAGCCCCGGCUAAUUAUGUGCCAGCAGCCGCGGUAAGACAUAAGGGGCAAGUGUUAUCCGGAAUUAUUGGGCGUAAAGGGUGCGUAGGCGGUCUAGUAAGUCAGUGGUGUAAUGGCAACGCUUAACGUUGUCCGGCUAUUGAAACUGCUAAACUUGAGUUAGAUAGAGGCGAGUGGAAUUCCAUGUGUAGCGGUAAAAUGCGUAAAUAUAUGGAGGAACACCAGAGGCGUAGGCGGCUCGCUGGGUCUUAACUGACGCUGAGGCACGAAAGCGUGGGGAGCAAACAGGAUUAGAUACCCUGGUAGUCCACGCCGUAAACGAUGAGUACUAAGUGUCGGGUUAAACCGGUACUGAAGUUAACACAUUAAGUACUCCGCCUGAGUAGUACGUACGCAAGUAUGAAACUUAAAGGAAUUGACGGGACUCCGCACAAGCGGUGGAUCAUGUUGUUUAAUUCGAAGAUACCCGAAAAACCUUACCAGGUCUUGACAUGUUUUUGCAAAAUGAUAGUAAUAUCGUGGAGGUUACCAGAAACACAGGUGGUGCAUGGUUGUCGUCAGCUCGUGUCGUGAGAUGUUAGGUUAAGUCCUAAAACGAGCGAAACCCUUAUCGUUAGUUGCCAGCACGUUAUGGUGGGGACUUUAACGAGACUGCCAAUGAUAAAUUGGAGGAAGGUGAGGAUCACGUCAAAUCAGCAUGCCCCUUAUGACCUGGGCUACAA